rnacentral:ncRNA from 1 species
GCAGAGUAGACGCACGAGCGUACAGUGCCUUCCGAACGGGGAGUUUGUCGGGAGGACGAAGCCGGUUUUCCGGCGCGGUUCGGGUGUCGCAUCCCGCUGC